rnacentral:rRNA from 1 species
GGGUUGUGAGGUUAAGCGACUAAGCGUACACGGUGGAUGCCCUGGCAGUCAGAGGCGAUGAAGGACGUGCUAAUCUGCGAUAAGCGUCGGUAAGGUGAUAUGAACCGUUAUAACCGGCGAUUUCCGAAUGGGGAAACCCAGUGUGUUUCGACACACUAUCAUUAACUGAAUCCAUAGGUUAAUGAGGCGAACCGGGGGAACUGAAACAUCUAAGUACCCCGAGGAAAAGAAAUCAACCGAGAUUCCCCCAGUAGCGGCGAGCGAACGGGGAGGAGCCCAGAGCCUGAAUCAGUGUGUGUGUUAGUGGAAGCGUCUGGAAAGGCGCGCGAUACAGGGUGACAGCCCCGUACACAAAAAUGCACAUGCUGUGAGCUCGAUGAGUAGGGCGGGACACGUGGUAUCCUGUCUGAAUAUGGGGGGACCAUCCUCCAAGGCUAAAUACUCCUGACUGACCGAUAGUGAACCAGUACCGUGAGGGAAAGGCGAAAAGAACCCCGGCGAGGGGAGUGAAAAAGAACCUGAAACCGUGUACGUACAAGCAGUGGGAGCAUGCUUAGGCGUGUGACUGCGUACCUUUUGUAUAAUGGGUCAGCGACUUAUAUUCUGUAGCAAGGUUAACCGAAUAGGGGAGCCGAAGGGAAACCGAGUCUUAACUGGGCGUUAAGUUGCAGGGUAUAGACCCGAAACCCGGUGAUCUAGCCAUGGGCAGGUUGAAGGUUGGGUAACACUAACUGGAGGACCGAACCGACUAAUGUUGAAAAAUUAGCGGAUGACUUGUGGCUGGGGGUGAAAGGCCAAUCAAACCGGGAGAUAGCUGGUUCUCCCCGAAAGCUAUUUAGGUAGCGCCUCGUGAACUCAUCUCCGGGGGUAGAGCACUGUUUCGGCAAGGGGGUCAUCCCGACUUACCAACCCGAUGCAAACUGCGAAUACCGGAGAAUGUUAUCACGGGAGACACACGGCGGGUGCUAACGUCCGUCGUGAAGAGGGAAACAACCCAGACCGCCAGCUAAGG